UACAGAGGUCUCAAGCGUUGUUCGGAUUCAUUGGGCGUAAAGGGUGCGUAGGUGGCGCCGUAAGUCGGGUGUGAAAUUUCGGAGCUUAACUCCGAAACUGCAUUCGAUACUGCGGUGCUUGAGGACUGGAGAGGAGACUGGAAUUCAUGGUGUAGCAGUGAAAUGCGUAGAGAUCAUGAGGAAGACCAGUGGCGAAGGCGACUUCCUGGCCUGUUCUUGACGCUGAGGCGCGAAAGCUAGGGGAGCAAACGGG
rnacentral:rRNA from 1 species